rnacentral:rRNA from 1 species
AUUGAACGCUGGCGGCAGGCCUAACACAUGCAAGUCGAGCGGUAGAGAGGUGCUUGCAUCUCUUGAGAGCGGCGGACGGGUGAGUAAUGCCUAGGAAUCUGCCUAGUGGUGGGGGAUAACGUUCGGAAACGGACGCUAAUACCGCAUACGUCCUACGGGAGAAAGCGGGGGAUCUUCGGACCUCGCGCCAUUAGAUGAGCCUAGGUCGGAUUAGCUAGUUGGUGAGGUAAUGGCUCACCAAGGCGACGAUCCGUAACUGGUUUGAGAGAACGACCAGCCACACUGGGACUGAGACACGGCCCAGACUCCUACGGGAGGCAGCAGUGGGGAAUUUUUGGACAAUGGGCGGCAAGCCUGAUCCAGCAAUGCCGCGUGCAGGAUGAAGGCCU